UACAGAGGGGGCAAGCGUUGUUCGGAAUUACUGGGCGUAAAGGGCGCGUAGGCGGCCUGUUAAGUCGGACGUGAAAUCCCUCGGCUCAACCGGGGAACUGCGUCCGAUACUGGCGGGCUUGAAUUCGGGAGAGGGAUGUGGAAUUCCAGGUGUAGCGGUGAAAUGCGUAGAUAUCUGGAGGAACACCGGUGGCGAAGGCGGCAUCCUGGACCGGUAUUGACGCUGAGGCGCGAAAGCUAGGGGAGCAAACGGG
rnacentral:rRNA from 1 species